rnacentral:misc_RNA from 1 species
AUGGCAGAAGGAAAUGGAGAGAUAAAAAUGGAAGAAAAGCAAGAAAUGGAAAAUGUGGAACGGACAGAAGAUUUUAACAAACUUAUACAAUAUGGAUUAGAUGAGAAAGUAGCUGCCAAAUUGGAUGAAAUUUAUAAAACAGGCAAAUUGGCUCAUGUUGACCUGGAUGAAAGAGCUCUCGACGCUUUAAAGGAAUUUCCAGUUGACGGUGCACUAAACGUUCUUACACAAUUUUUGGAAUCUAAUUUGGAGCAUGUAUCCAACAAAUCGGCAUAUCUUUGUGGAGUUAUGAAAACAUAUAGACAGAAAAGUCGCGCUGGUCAAGGUACGGGUACUAGUACGACGCCCAAAGCCCCAGAUGAAGAUAAAAUUAAGUUAAUUCUGGAAAGAACAGGAUACCCUUUGGAUGUAACUACUGGACAAAGAAAAUAUGGUGGUCCUCCACCAAAUUGGGAGGGCCCAACUCCUGGCACUGGUUGUGAGGUUUUUUGUGGCAAAAUUCCAAAAGACAUGUACGAAGACGAAUUAAUUCCGUUAUUUGAAAAAUGCGGGAAGAUUUGGGAUUUGAGACUGAUGAUGGAUCCCAUGUCAGGUUCCAAUAGAGGAUAUGCAUUUAUCACAUUUACUAACAGGGAAGCUGCGCAGCAGGCUGUCCGAGAGCUGAAUGAUUAUGAGAUUCGGAAAGGGAAAAAGAUUGGUGUUACCGUAUCUUAUAACAAUCAUCGCUUGUUUGUGGGAAAUAUUCCAAAGAAUCGAGACCGAGAUGACUUGUUCGAAGAGUUUACAAAGCACGCACCUGGCUUGACAGAGGUGAUUAUCUACAGUUCACCGGAUGACAAAAAGAAGAAUAGGGGUUUUUGUUUCUUGGAGUACGAAUCUCACAAAGCAGCUUCUUUAGCCAAGAGAAGGCUGAGUACCGGACGUAUCAAAGUUUGGGGAUGUGAUAUUAUUGUCGAUUGGGCGGAUCCUCAAGAGGAGCCAGAUGAACAAACCAUGUCUAAAGUGCGUGUACUUUACGUACGAAAUUUGACACAAGAUUGCUCUGAGGAGAAGUUGAAGGAAAGUUUUGAACAAUAUGGCAAAAUUGAGCGAGUAAAAAAGAUCAAGGAUUAUGCCUUUAUACACUUUGAAGAUAGAGAUAAUGCUGUUAAGGCAAUGAAUGAAUUGAAUGGUAAAGAAAUGGGUGGAUCUCAUAUAGAAGUUUCAUUGGCAAAACCACCAUCCGAUAAGAAGAAGAAGGAAGAAAUGCUACGCGCCAGAGAAAGACGAAUGAUGCAAAUGUUACAGGGUAGAGGCGGAGGAUCUCCGUCUCAUCCCAGCAUGAUGGGUGGACCAAUGCCAGUUCGUGGACCUACACAAGGACCUCGGGGCACUGGUGCAGGUAUGCGUGGACAGAUGGGACGAGGCGAUUACGCUCUCCAGGAAAUAGCUACCAGUGCAAUAGCUUGUGUCGCUUAAAAGUUUCUGCGCCAACCAAUCAGUUCGCUUUUCGCUUUACUACAUUGGAUAACUCUGCUAACUCCUACUGCUGUAUGUAAAAGACGUGGCUGGUCGUGGCCGUGGAGUAGUGCCACGUGGCCGAAUCGGUGGCCCGCAAGCCCGUGGGCCGGUCAGGGGGGGACGCAACCUCGCAGCUUCAGGGGCCCGUGGGGUCCAGCGGCUGGCCGCUCGUGGGGGGGUCCG